GACGAACGCUGGCGGCGUGCCUAACACAUGCAAGUCGAACGGAGAUAUAAUUUCGGUUAUAUUUUAGUGGCGAACGGGUGAGUAACGCGUGAGCAACCUGACUCUUAGAGGGGGAUAACAUUCGGAAACGGGUGCUAAUACCGCAUAAGACCACGACAUGGCAUCAUGACGAGGUCAAAGGAGCAAUCCGCUGAGAGAGGGGCUCGCGUCCCAUUAGAUAGAUGGCGGGGUAACGGCCCACCAUGUCAGCGAUGGGUAGCCGAGCUGAGAGGCUGAUCGGCCACACUGGGACUGAGACACGGCCCAGACUCCUACGGGAGGCAGCAGUAAGGAAUAUUGGUCAAUGGGCGCAAGCCUGAACCAGCAACGCCGCGUGGAGGAAGAAGGGUUUCGGCUCGUAAACUCCUUUUAGGUGGGAAGAGCAAGGACGGUACCACCUGAAUAAGUCUCGGCUAACUACGUGCCAGCAGCCGCGGUAAU
rnacentral:rRNA from 1 species